GGCGAUGAAGGUCCAAACCAAGCCAUGAGAAACCUCACCAGUUCAGUCUUCCAGGCCAAUGCACCUCCUCUUCCCUCUUACUGUGGCAUCUUCCCUGGCUGCUAAUUUCCCCAAACAGGAUAAACCCAAAGAAAUCGAUUGCCAUGAAACUUCUAAAAACUAAAGGCAAAGGAAAAAUCUGGAAACUAGGUCAAGUGCAGUGCGGCUGAUUUAGAGUUAAAGGUCUUCCUGUGAAACCAUGACCACAAUCAAAAUGAUCAACAUCUCCAUCACCUCCAAAAGUUUCCCUGGGAUCCUUUGUAAUUCAACUCUCCCUCCACCCUUGACCCCAAGCAAUCUGUGACCUGCUUUCUGUUACCAUACAGUAGUUUGCGUGUUCCAGAAUUUGAUAUAAAUGGAAUCAAAUAAUAUAUCCUCAAUGUCUGGUUUCAUUCAUUCAGCAUAAUUAUUCUGAGAUUUAUCCAUGCUGUGUGUAUCAAUAGAUUAUUCAUUUUUGUUGCUGAAUAGAAUCCCAUUGUACGAAUACACCAUGAUUUGUCUAUACAUUCACCAGUUGAGGGAC